CGAGACGCGCGUGAAUCAUCGAAUCUUUGAACGCAUCUUGCGUCCCCUUAUGGGGGGCAUAUCUGUUCGAGCGUGACGAAGUUAUUGCGCGAGGGAUGAGGGAUGGGAGUGGGAAUGGGAAUGGGAUGUUGAGUUUGACAGUAAUGUUGAGCCUCAGUAUCUCAAGUUUGACAGCAAUGUUGAACCUCAUUUCAUUGAACUUUCUCACCUCGGCGUCUUGGCCAAUCAUCUUUGUCGGCUGAAAUUGAUAUUGGGAGUGUGAGGAAAUAAGGAGGGGAGGAUGAGGGGGGUGUGAACACAUUCGUCUGUAAACACAUUCGUCUGUGAACACACAUUCGUCUCAUCGCUUCAAUUCCACUUCAAUUCACAAAACCCCAUAAUCUCCAAUCAUCUCGAAUCAGACAAGACUACCCGCUGAACUUAAGCAUAUCAAUAAGCGGAGG
rnacentral:rRNA from 1 species